CGCCUGUCGCUAUCUUAUCCUCUCCCAGUCCCUUCUCCACCGCUCACUCGCAUCCCACACACUCGCCUCGUGGAGAACUGUCUUGCGCCGGCGACGAGGCAGGGGACGUCAGAAAGGAGCCAGGGGGCGAUGGAGACGAGGAGUUGGAAGAACGCCGUCUAGCAGCUCCACCGUACCCAACAUCGGGGGUGUCCCGCGGCGGAGACAAGGCGGGCUACGCCGUCCUCGAGGUGUUGCGGCUUGCGGCCAUGGGGGAGGAGGCUGAGGAGGCCCCUUGGUUGUGCUCCGACGGAUCCCGGAUGGAGAGCCCGAGCGCUAGCGUGGGGAGGAACCGCCGGUUGCAGCGGUGGCGGCGGAGAGGAGGCCCGGCGAAUGAGCUGUGAUGGAGAUGGCCGUGCUUAGGUGCGGCGGGGGCGACGGAGAGGAGGCGCGGCGAAGGAGCUGCGCUGGAGAUUGCCGCAUUUAGGUGCGGCGGGUGUCGAGAUGUAGCCGGAGACCUACGCUGCGUGGUGGCACUGCUUCCGUCGGCGGUGGCCGCGCACUUCGUGGUGGCCACCACGGAGCUCCAACUUGGCGUUCACGAGUUUGAACUGCGCAAGGACGGGGCGGCUCGCUGGACUAGCCAUCCCAUGUCUAUUACCUAUGGCGCCCGAGCUGGCUGUCAACGAAGAGAUGGUGUCCUGAGGCAAUGACGUUUCUGGGCUCAUCCCAUUUUGGGCUGGUUCGCUGGAGGGGAGGAGCCAAAUCGCUAGCGACAAGGUUGUGCGAUGUGGGAUCGUUCGGGCUGGAGGGGUACUUCUACAGAACGAGUUUGUUCGUUCCAGCGACCCUUCCAGCACGAGCGAUUCGUUAGGGCUGGGGUGCCUCCACGCCGAACGUUCGGUGGUUAUCGGUGUCCUUUGGAAAUACAUACUUGUCUUCUUUGUUAGGACAAACGUGAAUUAUGAAAUUUUGCACAUACAUAA